GAGUUUGAUUAUGGCUCCAGGAUGAACGCUGGCGGCGUGCCUAACACAUGCAAGUCGAGCGCGGUUGUGCUUAGUAUUGAGUGUUUUAUUGAUAUAAAACAUUGAAUUCUAUGCACAACUGAGCGGCGGACGGGUGAGUAACCGCGUGGGUAACCUGCCCUAUACACAUGGAUAACAUACUGAAAAGUUUACUAAUACAUGAUAAAAUAGUUUUUCGGCAUCGAAGAAUUAUCAAAGUGUUAGCGGUAUAGGAUGGACCCGCGUCUGAUUAGCUAGUUGGUGAGAUAACUGCCCACCAAGGCGACGAUCAGUAGCCGACCUGAGAGGGUGAUCGGCCACAUUGGAACUGAGACACGGUCCAAACUCCUACGGGAGGCAGCAGUGGGGAAUAUUGCACAAUGGGCGCAAGCCUGAUGCAGCAACGCCGCGUGAACGAUGAAGGUCUUCGGAUCGUAAAGUUCUGUUGCAGGGGAAGAUA
rnacentral:rRNA from 1 species